AAAAAGGCAUCCCAGAUCAUGCUGGACUUGUUCAGCACAGAGACCUCUAUGUGUUAGACAGCAGAGCGAAACCUUGGAGAUGGAAUCUAAUCACGUCAAGACUGUUACCUGUAUACACUUAGGGAUGGAAAGUCUUCAACGUCACACAAACGGUGUCCAAGUGGAUUUGCAGGAUUCGCAACAGCGAGGAGAAUAAUGGGAUUCAGCCACGCCGCAACACCUGACAGUCCGAAGGUAUCGCCUCAAGACAGCAGGAGCAGGCGGAAAUGCGCAGCACCAAGCGGAUCCCC